AGAGCGCGGAACCAGGGAGGGGGAGGCCGGGCGAGCGGAGGGCUGCGCCAGCAGCCGGCACGUCGCGGGGCAGGCGGGCGCAGGAUGAUGACACAAACCCCUCGCCCCUCCUUUUCCGAGAUUUGAGCGAGAGUUGAGCGAGGGCGGAAAUGCUACCGUAUGUCUUCUAAGAGGGGGACGGCUAGGAGAGAUAUUAACGAAGGUGCACGCCCAACAUUCCUGGAUUCCAGAGGGUCCUGUUACGAGGUCUUAAAGUUGCAUAUGUUUGCACGUUCUUGGUAGUAACUCUGUGAGUUUGAGACGAAGGUCAUUUAUUUAUUCGUUCCAGAGAUGCUUGCGAGGUUGGGUGUACAGUGGUGAACAAAACAAAGCCCCUGCCCUCAUAGAACUUACAUUCUAGUGUGUGUGUUUUGGGGGGAGGGGUAGGAGGGAGACCGAAAUACUCAGAUAGUGACAAAUGCUAUAAAGAAAAUAAAGAAAAAAGGAAAUAGAGAGUGGUAGGUGGUAUUUUAUUUUAUUUUUAAAGAUUUUAUUUAUUUGACAGAUCACAAGUAGGCGGAGAGGGAGAAACAGGCUCCCCGCUGAGCAGAGAGCCCCAUUCAGGCUGGAUGCGGGGCUCCAUAGGGGGAUCGAUCCCAGCACUCUGAGAUCAUGACCUGAGUGGAAGGCAGAGGCUUAACCCACCGAGCCAUCCAGGCGCCCCAGUGGGUGAUAUUUUAAAUAGGCUGAUCAGAAAACUCUCUGAGAAGCUGGCAUUUUAACAAAUCUGAAUUCAGGAGAAAGAGCAGGUACUCCCGGUUCGACUCUCUGGAGGGACGAUGUCCAGGCAGAAGGAAGAGUUUGCAAAGGCUCUGACAGGGAAAUUUUCUUGGUGAGUUAUCACAGGAUCAACGAGGAGCAUGUAGAUUUACACUGCAGAGUGGAAUCCGUUCUAUCAGGCUUCCUUUCAAGACUGCCACUCCAGUGAAAGCAAUCUUGUCAAGGUUAACCACAUUGCCAACUCCACUGGUCACUUCUCGUCCUUCUACUGGACUUUCCUGCAGGAUUUGGUAAGAGGCUACUACAAGAAUCCAGACGGAGAUCUCAAGUAGGCAGAGAGGCAGGCAGAGAGAAAGAGAGGAGGAAGCAGGUUCUCCGCGGAGCAGACAGCCCAAUGCGGGGCUCAAUCCCAGGACCCUGGGAUCAUGACCUGAGCCGAAGGCAGAGGCUUUAACCCACUGAGCCACCCAGGCGCCCUGAAAAUACAAUUUUAGAAGGUCUGGGAGAGGAGGAGGAACCAGGAAAGGAGAAUGAAGAAGCAGCUUGAAAAACAAAAACUCCUUGAAGACCUUGCUCAGUGCCUGGCACAUAGUAGGUGAGCAGGAAAGAGUUGUGGAGUGAACAGAGUAACUCACACCCUCUCAUUUGCUGGUAAAAAUUCCUUUUCCAGAGCCUCAGGAACAAUCCCCAAGCAUUGCUCCUUUCCGCUUCUCAAUUAUAAUCCUAUCCAUACCGUCUCUCUUCAUGGUUAGGUCCACCUCUGGCUGUUCAUCCCGCCCCCCACCGUGCCAGCCUGGUCCCUGCGGGGCCUACUCUCAGGAGCAGGGCUGGGGCGAGGCUAGAUUCAGGGAGCCUACCCUCACCGGCUCCAGACCAGACUCCCUGUGCUAAGCUUUCUUGCCAGCAGGUGGCAUUUGAAGCCUGAAAGCUGAACUCGCGCCUCUGGUCCGUCCUUCCUUCUAUAAGCCUCUUGGGGACACAUAAUCUGGCUUGGGCCUCGCUAACGCUUGGAGAGGAUGCUCCAGCUGGGGGACCUGGCUGCUGGCUCCCAGGCUGCUGUCCCUUCCUUCCUAUCUGGUAGCAGCCACGGUCUGGACUUCUUCCUUAGCCUCCAAUUCAUUUCAAGUGCAUAUGCUUCAGCCAGAGCUGAAAUUAGGUGGGGCACUAAAAGCUAUUAAUAUGAUAAUUUUGGAAGAGUACACAUGUCCUUAAGCCCAUUCUCCUUAGUAAUUCUCCGUAUUCUCUCUCCUUGUGCUUGCGGAUGAUGCUGAGCCCAGGCCCGGCCCGCAAGGAAGCGCAGCAGCCUGGGUCCCCCUCUCAGUUUCUUUCCCUCCCUGAAGUCUAAGGGCUAGAGCUGGACAAUUCUUCGUGUUUUGUUCUUUGUUUUUUAAAGAAAUGAAAAACAGCAGCAAACAGAGAAUGGCUCUGGAUAGGUGGGAGCAAUUUACGGAGGCAUUGCUGAUACUGCUUUUACAUUGUUCGGGAGUUAUUUUAACAUCAGCUUUUGGUGGUGGACCGUUUCAUUGACCAUGUCACUGCUCUGGGUCUGAACUUUGGAGGGGGGGGGGACGAUCUCACAAACAUUACAUCGAUUACAGACAGCAGUGUUGUUGGGGGGCGCCCUGAGCCUUGGGAGGCAGAGGAGGGGCAACUCGUCUUGUCAGGAAGAUGGCCCAGGUGGGCCUCUCAAGCAGGGGACAGCUGGAGUGGAGGCUUGAAGGAAUAGGGAGUAGAUUAUUCUAUGCAGGCAGAGCAACAAUCUGAAUGAACAGAGAAGCACGUUAUCAGCCUUUUGUGUUCCCCGGUGCUCCCAGCUUAUCCCAAAUGCUGCCUCGUAGAACCCUCUCAAGCCCGCUCCCAUGCCGCCUUGCUCAAGGACUCCUUUGGGGGACCCUGGCCUCCUCUGGGUGACUUAGCUGGUACCUCUCACCUGCACCUUUAACCCAAUUGUGCCAAAGUAUGGCCAUCCUGUCUUCUUGAGCACCUGGACCCCUUGGUGCUGCCUUGGCCAUUCCUGGUAGCUAAAGGAGCUCGGUUGGAAUUCUGUGUACCUGUGAUGGGUGAGGGCCCUUGAUGCUGGGUUUCAAGAUGUAGGGAAGAUCUUUACCCUCCCCUACCAUGCUCUGCCUUUCAGCUUCAGUGAACCCAGGCCAAUCAGCAGAUCUCUUCUUGCAGGGAAAUGACUGCCCCAUGAAGGCUGUGAAUGGGAUUUUUCUUUCAGGCUGGAGAAACCAGGAUUGUGGAGAACAGUGAUUUGGAGAUCCUGGGACCAAUUUAAAACAAGCUCACAUUUCGCUGAUGCCUCAGCUCCAGAGCAAUGAGCAAGGCUACACUUGGGUGCCAGGAAUUCCAAUCCCAAGAACGGAGAGAAAGACCAGAGGGUAGACAAGGUGGAUGAGUGGCAAACUCCUUUGAGAGAGAAUUGAAUCUGCUCCCAGAAAGGAUGUUGGAAAUGAGGCUAUUAGCUUGCUCUGGAGAAAAUGCCGGGGUUGACACUGUCACAGGGGCACAGACCCAGGCCUCUGCUCUUAUUUGGCAGAUAAACCCUUCCUGCCAACUUGCAGGCCUCGCAGGAAGCACUGGAGUUUCGGUGUGGAGGUUAUUACACUGGACUGGAGAUGCUCUGAAGCCAGGGAGCAUCACUGGGAGGCUCUGGAAGCUGCAGGCAUUCUGGAAGAGAAGUGAACGAGGGGCUUUUGGACCUGGAGGAAAUCUGAGAGCCCAUUAAAACUCAACCCUGGCAUUUUAGAGUUAGGAAACAGAUGGGAAAUUGCUUGCUUGUUCAAGGCCACUGGCGUUCGUGAGAGUGGAGUCCAUAUAACACACUGGGUGCUGGGCCUCUUACAUGGAGGUCCACCACACCGGGGAUGCUCAUAUACUCUCCCGCCCCAUCUUUGCUCCUACUCGUGGGGUCUGAGUUAUCAAGGAACGUGCACCUGGCCCAAGAUAAAACGCCAUCCAGACUGUGUGGCGACAGCACGACCGCUAACCUCCUAAUGCCCUCACCUUUUGUGUCCACAGUUGCCCUUCAAUAGAAAGAACCAGACACUGGUAGAAAGAAAACACGUCUGCUGCUAGCAGGAUGUCAAACCCAGUGGAGAAAUGAAAAGAGAAGUAUCCCAGAGGAUCCUAAAAUAAAA